rnacentral:rRNA from 1 species
UACGUAGGGGGCUAGCGUUGUCCGGAAUCAUUGGGCGUAAAGAGCGUGUAGGCGGUUCGGUAAGUCUGCUGUGAAAGUCCAGGGCUCAACCCUGGAAAGGCGGUGGAUACUGUCGGACUAGAGUGCGGAAGAGGCGAGUGGAAUUCCCGGUGUAGCGGUGAAAUGCGCAGAUAUCGGGAGGAACACCUAUUGCGAAGGCAGCUCGCUGGGACGUUACUGACGCUGAGACGCGAAAGCGUGGGGAGCAAACAGG